GUGGGUAUAGCUCAGUGGUAGAGCACAUGCUUAGCAUGCAUGAGGUCCUGGGUUUAAUUCCCAGUACCUCCA
rfam:Camelus ferus unplaced genomic scaffold scaffold995, whole genome shotgun sequence.